rnacentral:rRNA from 1 species
GAUGAACGCUGGCGGCGUGCCUAAUACAUGCAAGUCGAGCGAACAGACGAGGAGCUUGCUCCUCUGACGUUAGCGGCGGACGGGUGAGUAACACGUGGAUAACCUACCUAUAAGACUGGGAUAACUUCGGGAAAUCGGGGCUAAUACCGGAUAAUAUAUUGAACCGCAUGGUUCAAUAGUGAAAGACGGAUUUGCUGUCACUUAUAGAUGGAUCCGCGCCGCAUUAGCUAGUUGGUAAGGUAACGGCUUACCAAGGCAACGAUGCGUAGCCGACCUGAGAGGGUGAUCGGCCACACUGGAACUGAGACACGGUCCAGACUCCUACGGGAGGCAGCAGUAGGGAAUCUUCCGCAAUGGGCGAAAGCCUGACGGAGCAACGCCGCGUGAGUGAUGAAGGUCUUCGGAUCGUAAAGCUCUGUUAUUAGGGAAGAACAAAUGUGUAAGUAACUAUGCACGUCUUGACGGUACCUAAUCAGAAAGCCACGGCUAACUACGUG